CGAUAUGAUGUGAUCGUCUGCUUUUGAUGAAAGAUCCUAGAUUUAAGUCAUUUUUGGAGAUGUUAGAUCAACAAUCAACGAUGUCAAAGGUGUGGGUUUAGAAUUUCGAAAAAAGAUGCUAAUAUGGAACUGCCAAACAAUCUGAUCAGCACUAAACCUGCUGCAGCUGCAUCGGAAAGCAAUACCUGCCUGAUAUGAUGUCAAUCACUUGCAGAUGACCAAGAUCAUGUUUAGGUACGCCAAAAGGGAGUGAUAGCAUAAAUGCUGCCAGCAAAAAUCGCUUGGACAAGAUUAAAUCCCUACCCGGACAGACCGUUUAUACGUACAUUGUCGGAAAGAUUAUUGUAACCCAAUUCGAAUCAAGCUAUCCUUAAAUAAAAAGCCAACACAGACUGUAUUAUCUCAACCAUUACGAUCUAACACUUAACGAUUUAACUUCAGUACAAAUUGUCUAUUUUGUGCUCAACGUGCCAAAUUUGUUGGAAGAAAACGAGGCUAUAAUGUAUACCCUGUUAGAACAGUUGAAUUUAAAAAGAACAUAGAACAAAUAUGUAUCGAUAGGGAUGACAAAUAGGGUUCAUAUAUUAACAGCAGAUUGGAAACAAUACAUGACUUAGCGGCUGCUGUUGCUAUAUACCAUCAGUCAUGCAGCGUAAAUUUUAGGACAGGUAAAAGUAUACCACAGUCAGGCAAUUAAAAAGGAAAGAAGUGUGGAAGACCAGUGAACAUGGCACAGGAAUUUGCUUUCCAGGAAAUAGCAAAGUUCCUGAUUGAAAAUGAUGACGAACAAAUAACACUAAAAGACCUUGUUGACAAAAUGGUAGAACUAUGUGGAGAACUCUCCUAUACAUCAACUCAUAUGAAGAAGAGAUUACUAGAGCAUUUUGGGUCCUCUAUUGUCAUCACAGAAUUAAAUGGAAAUAAGAAUGUAAUCACAUUUAGAAACACUGCAUCAUCAAUUCUUCAUUCAUUUUACCAAAAGUCUAGUAGCGAUUAUGAUGCUUAUAAAAUUGAAAUAAUAAAAACAGCAGCACAACUAUUGCUAACUGCUAUAAAGGAUAUUAAAGCAACAAAAUUGUCUUACCCUGACUCUGCUGAUCUUAUGUCUACACAGGAAAAUAUUGACUACAUUCCGGAUAGUCUAAAAACAUUUCUUAGAGAAAUUUUCAGCGAUAAAAAAGCAGAUGUUAAGAUUGCCUUUAUUGGACAGGCCAUUAUCCAAGCAGUAAGACCAAAGGUU